UCAGUCAGAACUUGGUGAACAUGUGAACUAAGCUCAAGUAUAAAAGCUGAUCUGUGCCAUAAAGGAAUCCACACAGAGGAAAGAUGAAUAUCCUAACACACCCGUGGGAUUUAACAGCACUGAAGAAAUGGAGUGAAUUCAGGAGGAGCAGAGAACUGGACUUUUUGUAUGAAGGAAUCAGGACCAACCACAGAGAAGAAGGUCAGAGCCUUAGAACAGUAAGGGUAUAUACCAGUGAGCAAGAUCAUGUUCCAGGCACUUGGGACAAUAGUGGAAUUUACCAGAUCUAAGACACAUUGUAAACUAUAUAAUAAAAACUAAAGUCUACGCUUAGGGAAAAAGUGUGUUAAGGAAAAGAACCAUACACAUGGUAUUUUAUAUAUUUUGAAUACAACUUGGUCUGAUGUGAUAUAUCUGGAAUGGAGUGAUCAAGUUAGACUUAUUUUCAAAUUAGGCAUUAAAAGAUAUUUUGAAAGGCAA